CCAUCAUUGGCCUGGAAGAAACCUCAGGAAUAAACCAAGAGCGCGUAUCAUAAACCGGAUCAUUGCACCCGGAAAGAAGCGGCCACCCUACCAGGUCCGUCUCCACGGUAACCGGCGCUUUGCGACCUUGGGUUUGCAGCGAUCCCGCCUCUGCGGCUGCAGAGGUUGCUGGGCGACGGGAGAGGCUGCGACUAGAGGUAUCCAUGAAGACGAUACUGUGAGAAACACUGCUCUAACUGCCGACCCAUCUCAGGCAGGUCACAGAGCCCAUGCACGGGGCAUGGCAGCAGCUCCACUCGUCUAAGCUGGACACAGAGCACAGAUACAAGCUCUCUGUGCUGUCUUCAACACGACUUUUCCACCCACUUUCUUCCAUCAUGUCCCCUAAAU